CGAGCAGCCUUGGGGUGGUCUGACUGGACCUGAGACGCCGGCCGCUCGCGCAAGCCGCGGAGCUCACCGGCGAACCCGUUGAACCUGAUCCGGCUAGUACCGGCGUAGGGAGCGGGCAUGAAACACGAAG
rnacentral:ncRNA from 2 species